rnacentral:rRNA from 1 species
GAUGAACGCUGGCGGCGUGCUUAACACAUGCAAGUCGAACGUGAUCCAUUAGCAAUAGUGGUGAAAGUGGCGAACGGGUGAGUAACACGUAGAUAACCUGCCCUGAAGAGGGGGAUAACGACUGGAAACGGUCGCUAAUACCGCAUAAUGUCUUUUAGUAGGGAUACUAGAAGAAGAAAACUCUGGUGCUUCAGGAGGGGUCUGCGUCCGAUUAGCUAGUUGGUGAGGUAAAGGCUUACCAAGGCGACGAUCGGUAGCUGGUCUGAGAGGACGAUCAGCCACACGGGAACUGAGACACGGUCCCGACUCCUACGGGGGGCAGCAGUGAGGAAUAUUGCCCAAUGGGGGAAACCCUGAGGCAGCAACGCCGCGUGGAGGAAGAAGGUCUUUACGAUCGUAAACUUCUUUUGUGAGGGAAGAGGAAGGACGGUACCUCAUGAAUAAGUCACGGCUAACUACGUGCCAGCAGCCGCGUAAUCAUACUCGUA